rnacentral:lncRNA from 1 species
UCUGUGAUACAUCACUGACAUAUCACCUCAGACUUUGAAGUACUCUCUGCCCAUUUUUUGAGCACACCCUGGCAACUAGCUAUGCUACCACAUACUGUAUUGUCACAUGGAAUGCUAUUGGUCGGAAAGAGUUACCAGCAAGUUGGCACGUUGCCUCUCAGAGACUCCCAAAGCUGGUCACAGAUUCUGCUUCUUUUAUUUCUCCAAACCAAUAUGUCAAGAGGAAAACUUUCUCUCUUUCCUUUUUAGAAGUUAUAUAUGGGCAUUCAUCUCACAGGAGGGACUUGAAGCAUGAAAUUGGACCUGACGUUCUGGGCAGCAUUCCACCAUAGAAGCAGGUUGAAGAAUCUGAAUACAAAACUGGGAGUGAGCUAUUCCUUAUUUCUCCCCUUUGGUAUCAGCAUAUCAUGUCUUAGUCCAUGUAUUUACUUUUAACUUCUUUCUGUCAGCCACAAGUAGCACAGAGUGGG